rnacentral:rRNA from 1 species
CCUACGGGUGGCAGCAGUGAGGAAUAUUGGUCAAUGGACGAGAGUCUGAACCAGCCAAGUAGCGUGAAGGAUGACGGCCCUAUGGGUUGUAAACUUCUUUUAUAGGGGAAUAAAAUGUGCCACGUGUGGGAUUUUGUAUGUACCAUAUGAAUAAGGAUCGGCUAACUCCGUGCCAGCAGCCGCGGUAAUACGGAGGAGCCGAGCGUUAUCCGGAUUUAUUGGGGUUAAAGGGUGCGUAGGUUGAUUGUUAAGUCAGUUGUGAAAGUUUGCGGCUCAACCGUAAAAUUGCAGUUGAAACUGGCAGUCUUGAGUACCGUAGAGGUGGGCGGAAUUCCUGGUGUAGCGGU